UACGUAGGGUGCGAGCGUUGUCCGGAAUUAUUGGGCGUAAAGAGCUCGUAGGCGGUUUGUCGCGUCUGCCGUGAAAGUCCGGGGCUCAACUCCGGAUCUGCGGUGGGUACGGGCAGACUAGAGUGAUGUAGGGGAGACUGGAAUUCCUGGUGUAGCGGUGAAAUGCGCAGAUAUCAGGAGGAACACCGGUGGCGAAGGCGGGUCUCUGGGCAGUAACUGACGCUGAGGAGCGAAAGCGUGGGGAGCAAACAGG
rnacentral:rRNA from 1 species